AUUGAACGCUGGCGGCAGGCCUAACACAUGCAAGUCGAACGAGAGGCGGACGGGUAAGUAAUGUCUGGGAAACUGCACGAUGGAGGGGGAUAACUAAUGGAAACGGUAGCUAAUACCGCAUAUCACCGGCUGUGCCCAGAUGGGAUUAGCUAGGAGGUGGGGUAACGGCUCACCUAGGCGAAGAUCCCUAGCGGGUCUGCGCGGAUGACCAGCCACACUGGAACUGAGACACGGUCCAGACUCCUACGGGAGGCAGCAGUGGGGAAUAUUACACAAUGUGCGCAAGCCUGAUGCAGCCAUGCCGCGUGUAUGAAGAAGGCCUUCGGGUUGUAAAGUACUUUCAGCGAGGAGGCGUUACUCGCAGAAGAAGCACCGGCUAACUCCGUGCCAGCAGCCGCGGUAAUUC
rnacentral:rRNA from 1 species